rnacentral:rRNA from 1 species
UACGUAGGGGGCAAGCGUUGUCCGGAAUCAUUGGGCGUAAAGAGCGUGUAGGCGGCCUGAUAAGUCGGCUGUGAAAGUCAGGGGCUCAACCCUUGGAAGCCGGCCGAUACUGUCGGACUAGAGUCCGGAAGAGGCGAGUGGAAUUCCCGGUGUAGCGGUGAAAUGCGCAGAUAUCGGGAGGAACACCAAUGGCGAAGGCAGCUCGCUGGGACGGUACUGACGCUGAGGCGCGAAAGCGUGGGGAGCAAACAGG